GUAGUAGUUAUGUUCUUGAAACUUAAAAAAUUUGGCGGUAUUUUAGUCUAUUCAGAGGAACUUGUCCUAUAAUUGAUAAUCCACGUUGGACCUUACUUAAGUUUGUUAAGCAGUUUAUAUACCGUCGUUAUCAGAAUAUUUUAUAAGGAUAAUAAUUUUCGUAAAUUUAUAUUAAAUUAUAUUUCAGAUCAAGGUGUAGCUUAUAUUUAAGUAGUGAUGAGUUACAUUAAAAAUAUUUAAAUGAAUAUUAUUAUGAAAAAUUAAUUGAAGGUGGAUUUGGAAGUAAAAUUAUAAAGAU
rnacentral:rRNA from 1 species